GAUGAACGCUGGCGGCGUGCCUAAUACAUGCAAGUCGAGCGAACAGACGAGGAGCUUGCUCCUCUGACGUUAGCGGCGGACGGGUGAGUAACACGUGGAUAACCUACCUAUAAGACUGGGAUAACUUCGGGAAACCGGAGCUAAUACCGGAUAAUAUAUUGAACCGCAUGGUUCAAUAGUGAAAGACGGUUUUGCUGUCACUUAUAGAUGGAUCCGCGCCGCAUUAGCUAGUUGGUAAGGUAACGGCUUACCAAGGCGACGAUGCGUAGCCGACCUGAGAGGGUGAUCGGCCACACUGGAGCUGAGACACGGUCCAGACUCCUACGGGAGGCAGCAGUAGGGAAUCUUACGCAAUGGGCGAAAGCCUGACGGAGCAACGCCGCGUGAGUGAUGAAGGUCUUCGGAUCGUAAAACUCUGUUAUUAGGGAAGAACAAAUGUGUAAGUAACUAUGCACGUCUUGACGGUACCUAAUCAGAAAGCCACGGCUAACUACGUG
rnacentral:rRNA from 1 species